rnacentral:rRNA from 1 species
AUUGACCGCUGGCGGCAUGCCUUACACAUGCAAGUCGAACGGCAGCACGGGAGCAAUCCUGGUGGCGAGUGGCGAACGGGUGAGUAAAGUAUCGGAACGUGCCCAGUCGUGGGGGAUAACGUAGCGAAAGUUACGCUAAUACCGCAUACGAUCUAUGGAUGAAAGCGGGGGAUCGCAAGACCUCGCGCGAUUGGAGCGGCCGAUAUCAGAUUAGGUAGUUGGUGGGGUAAAGGCUCACCAAGCCGACGAUCUGUAGCUGGUCUGAGAGGACGACCAGCCACACUGGGACUGAGACACGGCCCAGACUCCUACGGGAGGCAGCAGUGGGGAAUUUUGGACAAUGGGCGAAAGCCUGAUCCAGCCAUGCCGCGUGCAGGAUGAAGGCCUUCGGGUUGUAAACUGCUUUUGUACGGAACGAAAAGGUUUGGGCUAAUAAGCUGAGCUCAUGACGGUUCCGUAAGAAUAAGCACCGGCUAACUACGUGCCAGCCGCCGCAGUAA